rnacentral:rRNA from 1 species
AUUGAACGCUGGCGGCAGGCCUAACACAUGCAAGUCGAGCGGAUGAAGGGAGCUUGCUCCUGGAUUCAGCGGCGGACGGGUGAGUAAUGCCUAGGAAUCUGCCUGGUAGUGGGGGAUAACGUCCGGAAACGGGCGCUAAUACCGCAUACGUCCUGAGGGAGAAAGUGGGGGAUCUUCGGACCUCACGCUAUCAGAUGAGCCUAGGUCGGAUUAGCUAGUUGGUGGGGUAAAGGCCUACCAAGGCGACGAUCCGUAACUGGUCUGAGAGGAUGAUCAGUCACACGGGAACUGAGACACGGUCCAGACUCCUACGGGAGGCAGCAGUGGGGAAUAUUGGACAAUGGGCGAGAGCCUGAUCCAGCCAGGCCGCGUGUGUGAAGAAGGUCUUCGGAUUGUAAAGCACUUUAAGUUGGGAGGAAGGGCAGUAAGUUAAUACCUUGCUGUUUUGACGUUACCAACAGAAUAAGCACCGGCUAACUUCGUG